UGGGGACGAAUGCCAGUUAGCAGUUUCCCGCCGGUGGAGAUUGAGAAAGAUGAUGGUCGUGCCAGUAGCAGUUCCAGCAGCUCAAGUAGUUCCAGUAGUGAUUCAUCCUCGUCUAGUGAUUCAGAUUCGGGGAGUUCCUCAGGAAGUGAUUCUGAUGCUGAUGAUGCACGGUCGUAGUACCUGCAAAUGGUGUAGUGAGUAGGAGAAAGUGCGCUGCAAGUGUUGUUGACGCUGGGAGGGUGGCUGGACAUUGGCCACAUUUGUUUCAGCCACUGAUAGCAGACUGGUUAAAUUCUGUCUGGUGGUGAAUCAGUGAAGUGUUCAUUGUGACAAGGGUGAGUUAUCUCUGAAGUGUUUUGUGGGGUUGUGGUGGUUUAAUUUUUGUUGGGAGUGAAUAGGCAUUGUAGCUGGAGACUGACUGGAGGUUUCACCUUAUUAUGUACAAAGAAAAAAAGGGGGGGAUCAAGGGAGGAAAAGUAGGUUAGGGAUGUAGAGAAGUGUAACGAGAAAUUGUUAGAGAAGGUAGAAGAGAGAGGUUUGAAAUGCGUUGUACACAUUUAACAAUAUAUACCUGAUUUUCUGCCAUCCAGCAUUGCCUCUCCCUUGGCAACGGGUUCUUUGUUAGGUUAAAUCAUUCUUUCCUUCAGAUGAAAGAGGCAGAAGAUGAAAGUGCAUAUUCUAUAUAAUAUAUAUAAGCGGGAAAA